rnacentral:rRNA from 1 species
UACGAAGGGGGCUAGCGUUGCUCGGAAUCACUGGGCGUAAAGCGCACGUAGGCGGAUUGCUAAGUCAGGGGUGAAAUCCUGGAGCUCAACUCCAGAACUGUCCUUGAUACUGGCGGUCUCGAGUCCGGGAGAGGUGAGUGGAACUGCGAGUGUAGAGGUGAAAUUCGUAGAUAUUCGCAAGAACACCAGUGGCGAAGGCGGCUCACUGGCCCGGUACUGACGCUGAGGUGCGAAAGCGUGGGGAGCAAACAGG